rnacentral:rRNA from 1 species
AUGGCGUCGGCGCCCGGCGGCGAUCCAGUGCUCGCCGCCUGCAAGGACAAGCUGAAGCACUUCCGAUUAAAAGAGCUAAAAGAUGUCCUGUAUAAGAUUGGACUUUCAAAGCAUGGAAAGAAGCAGGAACUAGUGGAUAAAAUCAUUGCAAUAUUAUCCGAUCAACAGGAUCAAGCCUCCAAAAUUGAUGGCUUACCAAACAGACUGAUGGUUGGAAAAGAAACGGUAGUGAAAAUAGUCGAGGACACUUUUAGAAAAAUGCGUGAGCCUGCAAAUGCUGUUUCAGCCUCUGGAAACCAGAACGAGCUGGGGUACAGUGUAAUGCCUAUGAAAAACCCAGAUGAUUCUGCUCAGCUGGAUAUCAAGGUCCGUUGCCCCUGUGGUAAUUCCAUGGCCACUGGGUCCAUGAUUCAGUGUGACCAUCCACGAUGCAAUGUAUGGCAACAUAUUGAUUGUGUCAUCAUACCUGAGAAGACUGCAGAUACUGCUCCUCAAGAACUACCUUCCAGUUUCUAUUGUGAGAUGUGCCGAGUCAGCAGGGCAGACCCUUUCUGGGUCACUAUUAACCACCCAUUACUUCCAGUGUCAGUAGCUCCUUCGAACAUAAUGGCAGAUGGGUCAUAUACUGUACAGUAUAUCGAGAAAACCUUUCCGUUAUCAAGAGCUAAUAGGGAAAUGCUACAGAAAGCUGAAUAUGACAUUCAGGUUUGGUGUAUCCUUCUCGAUGACAAAGUUCCUUUCAGGAUGCACUGGCCUUUACAUUCUGACAUGCAAGUUAAUGGUAUUCCUGUUCGGGUUGUCAGCAGGCAAGCUACACAGCCGUUAGGGGCCAAUGGUAGAGAUGAUGGUCUUAUGUUAACACAGUUUUUGAAAGAAGGUCCCAAUAAGAUUGUUCUAUCUAGAAGUGACUCUCGUGCGUUCUGUUUGGGUGUCAGAAUUGCCAAGAGGAGAUCUCUGGAAGAGGUCCUAAAUUUGGUACCAAAGGAACAGGAUGGUGAGAAGUUUGAUGAUGCCCUUUCUCGUGUGCGUCGCUGCGUCGGUGGGGGGACUGAGGCAGAUAAUGCAGACAGUGAUAGUGAUAUUGAGGUUGUUGCUGAUUCAGUCUCUGUAAAUCUCCGAUGCCCUAUGACUGGUUCAAGGAUUAAGGUAGCUGGUAGGUUCAAACCCUGUGUCCACAUGGGUUGUUUUGAUUUAGAAGCUUUUGUGGAACUGAAUCAACGUUCACGGAAGUGGCAAUGCCCAAUUUGCCUGAAGAACUAUUCUCUGGAGAAUCUAAUUAUUGAUCCUUAUUUCAAUCGCAUCACUUCGCUAAUCAAAAGCUGUGGAGAUGAUAUAUCAGAAAUCGAUGUCAAGCCGGAUGGUUCCUGGAGAGCUAAGGGUGGAGCUGAACUGAAGGAUCUUAUGCAGUGGCAUUUACCAGAUGGCACUCUCUGUAUGUCCACAGGUACAGGACCGAAACCCAACACGGGUGUUGUAAAGCAAGAGAUUAAAGAAGAACCGUUGCCUGAAAAUAAGGGUUCUCGUCUCAAACUGGGAAUUAGGAGAAACAACAAUGGCAAAUGGGAAAUUAGCAAGAAAGGGGAUGUUAAUUUGAAACCAACUUCUUAUAAUGAUCAGAGUAGAGACUUUGAUAAUGGGAAAUGCGUCACCCAUACAAGCAACAGUAAUCAUGAGGAUGCUAAAGGUGGAAGUUAUAAUUCAGAACCGGGACAAUCUGAUCACCCUACGAGCAGUGUAUAUGAUCUGAAUACUUCUCCUGGGGAUGAACAUGUUCCAAUAGUUCUGAGCGACUCAGAUGAUGAAAAUGCUACGGUGUUGUCUCCUAGUGCAGUGAAUUGUGGCGCAGCAAAUGACACCGGAUAUGAGUUUCCACCGCCCAAUCCACUUGACACUUCAGGAGGCCCAGAUGAAACUUCAUUUUUCCUUAAUGAAAACUUUGAUGAUCUGGGGUUGUCAUUUUGGGAGUAUCCUUCGACUACCCAAGAUGAUCCAGGAAUACAAGGAACAGAUAAUCUGGGUGAAGUGCAAAACUACCCUGCCACCAAUCUAUCUCUGCACGAGCCAGUUUCUACGGUUAAUUUGGGCGUAUUAGCACCAGCAGCAAACCAACCAGAAUAUGGGAAUGAUGGAAGUUUAAAUAAUGCCAAAAACACUUCCCGGAAAAGGAAGAACCCUGCGAAUGAAAUAACAUCUUUAGAUGCUUCAGUUCUCAUGAGUGGCAAUGACGACGACGACUUUGCUGGGGAUGGAUCUGGUGGCACUUCCUCACUGUCUGGUCAGCCACGGUCAGUUCGACCAAAAUCCGUACUAGCUAUUGAGUCAGAUUCUGAUUAG